UCCAAUGGGUCGUUGUGAACA
ensembl:piRNA 21ur-15067 ncRNA